GUUCGCCCCGCCCGUCGCGCGCUCUCCCCGUUCUCCAAGUCCUCAGCGCCAGGACCCCGCGCUCCGCGGACGGCGGUCCUGACGGAAUCAGGAGGAACCGGGAGGUCUGGGCGACAGCGGCAGGGGCCUGAGCCACGAAGUCCGGGGGGAGCCUGUUCUCGUCCCGCCCAAGACCUCGCGCCUCCCGCGCCCGUCCGGGAAGCCCAGCGCUCGCCCAUGGCUCGGCUCCGGGACCUCAGGUCGGCUCCCUCGGGCCACAGGCGACGGUGCAACCGUCCUCCCUGUCUGCCCCUGCCACUCUGAGGCGGCCCCAGGGGUCCCGCGCCCCUCGUUCCCCGGGUCACCCAGGUCUCCGUGGGCUGGGCCCCAUCCCCACGCGCGGAAGCCGUGGGCCAACGCGUUUCCCCCUCACAGGGGACCUGCGCGGAAGCCGUCGGAGCCGCUGGAGCGCGACCUGGGCGGAGGCGGCAGGCCGGGUUGAGACGGGGGCGUGGCCUCUGGGGUGUGCUUCUGCUUAGGGUUCAUUUACCCUCUUCACCACGCUGAGACAGAGCCUUUCUGCUGACUGAAAUGGUGUUUGUUGACGAUGCCAUCGCAAACUCGUUUAGAGAGAAGCCCGCGCUUAAUUUGGACAGCACACCGAACCAGAAGAGAGUGCAGCUGGAUUCACAACCCCAGAGUGGGAAUGAGGGCAAGUUAAUGAAGCCCGCAGCCGAGAGCAAGAGGAACCAAAAUGAAGAAAAAUGAACAGUUUCUGGGACUUAUGAAAUGCCAUCAGACAACAUGCCUCACAGGGUCCCAGGAAAAGAAGGUGAAGAGGUAUAAGGUACGUAUAAGGAAAUAUGGUUGACUGCUUCCCAAAUUUGAUGAAAAAAAUUUAUCUACACAUCCAAGAUGCUCAGUAAACACCUAGACAUAUCAUAGUCAAACUGAAACAAAACACAAAGAGAAACUCUUGAAACUGGGGGACACACACACACACUGAGAGGCUGACUUAUGGACAAGUCACCCACAAUAAAGUUAAGCUAACUUUUCAUCAAAACCAGUGGAGUCGGGCUGGGGAUUUAGCUCAGUGGUUCUGGCACCUCCCUCACAAGCACAAGUUCCCAAGUUCGAUCCCCAGUACCGGAAAAAACAAAACAAAACAAAAACCAGUGGAGUCCAGGAGACAAUAGGAUGACAUACUAUAAAUGCUGAAAGAAAAAAUAAUCAGCCAAGCAUCCUAUAUCUAGAAAUCUAGCUUUCAAAAAUGAAGAUGAAGUAGUCUCAGAAAAGACUGGUAGAAUUUGUUAUUUGCAGCUUUGCCCUAAAAGAUAUAGCAAAGUUCUUUAGCUGAAAGGAAGCUGUGCCAGGUAAUGAUUCUAAUCCCCAUGAAAAAAUGCAAAGCCCUAUGGAGGUAACACUUAGGCCAUUAUAGAAGAGGGCAGG
rnacentral:lncRNA from 1 species